UACUGGGCGUAAAGCGCACGCAGGCGGUCUGUCAAGUCGGAUGUGAAAUCCCCGGGCUCAACCUGGGAACUGCAUUCGAAACUGGCAGGCUAGAGUCUUGUAGAGGGGGGUAGAAUUCCAGGUGUAGCGGUGAAAUGCGUAGAGAUCUGGAGGAAUACCGGUGGCGAAGGCGGCCCCCUGGACAAAGACUGACGCUCAGGUGCGAAAGCGUGGGGAGCAAACAGGAUUAGAUACCCUGGUAGUCCACGCCGUAAACGAUGUCGAUUUGGAGGUUGUGCCCUUGAGGCGUGGCUUCCGGAGCUAACGCGUUAAAUCGACCGCCUGGGGAGUACGGCCGCAAGGUUAAAACUCAAAUGAAUUGACGGGGGCCCGCACAAGCGGUGGAGCAUGUGGUUUAAUUCGAUGCAACGCGAAGAACCUUACCUGGUCUUGACAUCCACAGAACUUUCCAGAGAUGGAUUGGUGCCUUCGGGAACUGUGAGACAGGUGCUGCAUGGCUGUCGUCAGCUCGUGUUGUGAAAUGUUGGGUUAAGUCCCGCAACGAGCGCAACCCUUAUCCUUUGUUGCCAGCGGUCCGGCCGGGAACUCAAAGGAGACUGCCAGUGAUAAACUGGAGGAAGGUGGGGAUGACGUCAAGUCAUCAUGGCCCUUACGACCAGGGCUACACACGUGCUACAAUGGCAUAUACAAAGAGAAGCGACCUCGCGAGAGCAAGCGGACCUCAUAAAGUAUGUCGUAGUCCGGAUUGGAGUCUGCAACUCGACUCCAUGAAGUCGGAAUCGCUAGUAAUCGUAGAUCAGAAUGCUACGGUGAAUACGUUCCCGGGCCUUGUACACACCGCCCGUCACACCAUGGGAGUGGGUUGCAAAAGAAGUAGGUAGCUUAACCUUCGGGAGGGCGCUUACCACUUUGUGAUUCAUGACUGGGGUGAAGUCGUAACA
rnacentral:rRNA from 1 species